CCCUGGACCUGUGUCUAAAGGUGGGCAUUAGCAGUCGGCAUCUCACUGCUAUCACUGUGGAUGUGUGGACACUCCAUGCUGAACUGCAUGAGGGCCUCUUCCAGAGCCAACUGCUGUGCCAGGGCCCAAGCCUAGCAUCUAAGCCUGUUCCCUGUUCAGAGGUGACAGAAAACUUAGUUGAGCCAACUCUGCCUGGCCUAUUCCUUCUCCAGCAGCUGCCAGACCAGGUCAAGGUUAAGAUGGAGAACACAAGCGUGGUAUUGUCCAUGAAUAGUCAAAAGAGGUGAGGUCUCUCCUGACACAGAAGAUGGGAGAGUGAUAGUGGGAGCUGUAUGUUGGUAUCUCUGUAACCAGCCUAGUAUUUGCUGAGCUUGUCUACGGGGAGAAAGGAAGUAGAAAUGGUUACAUCCAUGUAGUGUGGGAAAAAUUAAAAAAAUUAUUAUUAU
rnacentral:lncRNA from 10 species